CAGCAGCCGCGGUAAUACGUAGGGUGCAAGCGUUAAUCGGAAUUACUGGGCGUAAAGCGUGCGCAGGCGGUUUUGUAAGACAGAGGUGAAAUCCCCGGGCUCAACCUGGGAACUGCCUUUGUGACUGCAAGGCUAGAGUACGGCAGAGGGGGAUGGAAUUCCGCGUGUAGCAGUGAAAUGCGUAGAUAUGCGGAGGAACACCGAUGGCGAAGGCAAUCCCCUGGGCCUGUACUGACGCUCAUGCACGAAAGCGUGGGGAGCAAACAGGAUUAGAUACCCCCGUAGUCCCUGUCUCUUAUAC
rnacentral:rRNA from 1 species